CUUGUCGUGACCAGGAUCCCAGGCAAACUUGGUUAAUACUGCAGUGAAGGUAUAAGGACUGAUUGUAUCCAGAUGAUGGAGAAUAUAGAGAAGAAUAUAGAUCUAGAAGAAAGUAGAAGAAUUCUGAUGGAUUCAGAUGAAGAGAUGAGUGGAGAACUACUAAAUGUUCUAGAAGCUGACGAUUCUACAAGUAU